AUGAUUUUGUUAUCUGUUUUAAAUUCUGCUUUUGUCACAUAACAGUUAAGAAUAUUUCCCUAUACUAACAGUGUGUAAACAUUUUUUUAAUGUGUGUGGAUUAUUGCAUGGUGUUUGCAUAGUUUAUGUUUCUUGCCAUUCUUCCGUUACUUUUUUUUUUUUUGAGACUCUUGCUCUGUCAUCCAGGCUAGAGUGCAGUGGCACAAACAUGACUUACUGCAGCCUUGAACUCCUGGUCUCAAGCAGUUCUCCCACCUUAGCUUCCCAAAUAGCUGGUACUGUAGGAACAUGUUAGCCUGCCUGGCUAACAUUUGUUUGUUUGUUUAUUUUUGUGAAGAUGGGAUCUGGCUGUAUUACCCAGGCUGGUAUCAAACUCUGGAGCUUCAAGUGAUCCUCCCACCUCAGCCUCCCAAAAGUCUUGUUCUAGAGAAAGCCAAAUUUCACCUUUGCAUUAGUGUGUUAGUAAUGUUAAACCCAAUUCUUAAUAAAACCUUAUAAACAAAUCUAUUGAAUCUUAAUUAGCUCAACCAUAAGGUAAAGUUUUCAUAACCCUUUUUUAAUCUUUUACAAUUUUAUUUUAAGUAGUAGAUCAAUUUAGUAAGAAAAUCCGUAAUUCACAAAAUAGACAGACCACUAGCCAGAUUAAUAAAAAAGAAAAGAGAAUAGAUGCAAUAAAAAAUGAUAAAGGGAAUAUCACUACAGAUUCCACAGAAAUUCAAAUCAUCAUCAGAGAUUAUUAUAAACAACUCUAUGCACAUAAACUAGUAAACCUGGAAGAAAUGGAUAAAUUCCUGGACACUUGCCUCCUCCCCAAGCCUAAACCAGGAAGAAGCCGAAACCCCGAACAGACCAAUAACAAGAUCUGAAGUUGAGGCAGCAGUUAAGAGCCUACCACACACAAAAAAAGCCCAGGCCCAGAUGGGUUUACAGUCAAAUUCUACCAGACACACAGAGUAGCUGGUACCAUUCCUUCUGAAACUAUUCCAAAUAAUCCCAAAAGAGGGAAUCCUUCCCAAAUCAUUUUAUGAGGCCAGCAUCAUUCUGAUACCAAAACUUGGCAGAGACUCAAGAAAAGAAAACUUCAGGCCAAUACCAAUGAUGUACAUAGACGCAAAAAUCUUCAAUAAAAUACUGGCAAGUCGAUUGCAACAGCACAUCAAAAAGCUUAUCCACCAUGAUCAAGUAGGAUUCAUCCCGGGGAUGCAAGGCUGUUCAACAUACGCAAGUCUAUAAAUGUAAUUCACCACAUAAACAGAACCAAAGACAAAAACCACAUGAUUAUCUCAAUUGAUGCAGAGAAGGCAUUUGACAAAAUUCAACAGCCCUUUAUGCUAAAAACCCUCCAUAAACUAGGUAUUGAUGGAAUGUAUCUCAAAAUAAUAAAAGCUAUUUAUGACAAACCAACAGCCAGUAUCAUACUGAAUGGGCAAAAACUGUAAGCAUUCCCUUUGAAAUCUGGCACUAGACAAGGAUGACCUCUCUCACCACUCCUAUUCAAUAUAGUACUGGAAGUUCUAGCCAGAGCAAUCAGGCAAGAAAAAGAAAUAAAGGGUAUUCAAUUAGGAAAGGAGGAAGCCAAAUCAUCUCUAUUUGCAGAUGACAUGAUUGUGUAUCUAGAAGAUCCCAUCAUCUCAGCCCAAAAUCUUCCAAAACUGAUAAGCAACUUCAGCAAAGUCUCAGGAUACAAAAUCAAUGUGAAAAAUCACAAGCAUUCCUACACACCAAUUACAGACUUAAAGAGAGCCAAAUCAAGAAUGAACUGCCAUUCACAAUUGCUACAAAGAAUAAAAUACCUAGGAAUACAACUAACAAGGAAUGUAAAGGACGUCUUCAAGAGAACUACAAACCACUGCUCAACGAAAUCAGAGAGGACACAAACAGAUGGAGAAACAUUCCAUGUUCAUGGUUAGGAAGAAUCAAUAUCGUGAAAAUGGCCAUACUGCCCAAAGUAAUGUAUAGAUUCAAUGCUAUCCCCAUCAAGCUACCAAUGAUCUUCUUUACAGAACUGCAAAAAACCACCUUAAACUUUAUAUGGAACCAAAAGAGAGCCCACAUAGCCAAGUCAAUUCUAACCAAAAGAACACAGCAGAAGGCAUCACACUACCCAACUUCAAACUAUACUACAAGGCUACAGUAAUCAAAACAGCAUGGUACUGGUACCAAAACAGAGAUAUAGACCAGUGGAACAGAACAGAGGCCCCAGAGGCAACACAACAUGUCUACAACCAUCUGAUCUUUGACAAACCUGACAAAAACAAGCAAUGGGGAAACGAUUCCCUGUUUAAUAAAUGGUGUUGGAAAAACUGGCUAGCCAUGUGCAGAAAGCAGAAACUGGACCCCUUCCUGACACCUUACACUAAAAUUAACUCCAGAUGGAUUAAAGACUUAAACAUAAGACCUGGCACCAUAAAAACCCUAGAAGGAAAUCUAGGCAAAACUAUCCAGGACAUAGGAGUAGGCAAGGACUUCAUGAACAAAACACCAAAAGCAUUGGCAACAAAAGCCAAAAUAGACAAAUGGGACCUAAUGAAACUCCACAGCUUCUGCACGGCAAAAGAAACAGUCACUAGAGUGAAUCGGCAACCAACAGAAUGGGAAAAAAUUUUUGCAGUUUACCCAUCUGACAAAGGGCUGAUAUUAAGAAUUUACAAAGAACGAAAACAGAUUUACAAGAAAAAAACAAGCCCAUUCAAAAGUGGGCAAAGGAUAUGAACAGACACUUUACAAAAGAAGACAUACAUAAGGCCAACAAACAUGAAAAAAUGCUCAUCAUCACUGGUCAUUAGAGAGAUGCAAAUCGAAACCACAUUGAGAUACCAUCUCACGCCAGUUAGAAUGGCGAUCAUUAAAAAAUCUGGAGACAACAGAUGCUGGAGAGGAUGUGGAGAAAUAGGAACACUUUUACACUGUUGGUGGUUGGUGGGAGUUCAACCAUUGUGGAAGACAGUGUGGCGAUUCCUCAAGGACCUAGAAAUAGAAAUUCCAUUUGACCCAGCAAUCCCAUUACUGGGUAUAUAUCCAAAGGAGUAUAAAUCAUUCUACUAUAAGGACACAUGCACACGAAUGUUCACUGCAGCACUGUUUACAAUAGCAAAGACCUGGAACCAACCCAAAUGCCCAUUUAUGAUAGACUGGACAGGGAAAAUGUGGCACAUAUAUACCAUGGAAUAUUAUGCAGCAAACAAAAACGAUGAGUUUGUGUCCUUUGUAGGGACAUGGAUGAAUCUGGAGAACAUCAUUCUCAGCAACCUGACACAAGAACAGAAAAUGAAAUACCGCAUGUUCUCACUCAUAGGCGGGUGAUGAACAAUGAGAACACAUGGACACAGGGAGGGGAGCACUACACACUGGGAGGGGAGGGACAGUGGGGGUGGAGUUGGGGAGAGAUAGCAUGGGGAGAAAUGCCAGAUGUGGGUGAAGGGGAGGAAGGCAGCAAAUCACACUGCCACGUGUUUACCUAUGCAACUAUCUUUCAUGUUCUGCACAUGUACCCCAGAACCUAAACUGCAAUAAAAAAAAAAAGGAAAAAAAAAGAAAACCAUGUAAUACAGAUAGGUGAGCCCAGAUUCCAGCCCUGCAUUAGUGUGCUCUUGUUUCAGUGUUCAACAUACUGAAAAAUUAAAUAGUCCCCUUCAGAUCUUAACAAACUUGCUCAUACCUACAGAAAUUCCUUUACAAGAUCAACCCUUCACAAAUCCUCUGUACUUUGCCUAAACCUUCAGUUUUGUCACAUUAGUCUUUCAGGAUAAGACAAUCGUUAAAACCCCCUGAGCCAUAGAAAAUGUUAUUCCCUUUAACAAAAACAUAUUCCCAUCCCUUCUUAUAGCCUCCCACCAAAUUCACAUUUCUUUUUUCCUUCUGCACCUUGCAUAUAAAACUGUUUUUACAGUAGUCUCAAAUGCAUGCUGCACUGUUAACUUUUUUUUUUUUUUUUUUUUGAGACAGAGUUUCGCUCUGGUUACCCAGUCUGGAGUGCAAUGGCACAAUCUCGGCUCACUGCAACCUCUGCCUCCCAGGUUCAGGCAAUUCUCCUGCCUCAGCCUCCUGAGUAGCUGGGAUUACAGGCACGCGCCACCAUGCCCAGCUAAUUUUUUGUAUUUUUAGUAGAAACGGGGUUUCACCAUGUUGACCAGGAUGGUCUCGAUCUUUUGACCUCGUGAUCCACCCGCCUCGGCCUCCCAAAGGGCUGGGAUUACAGGCGUGAGCCACCGCGCCCGGCCCUGCACUGUUAACUUUUAGCAGAUUUUAUUUUUGGUGAGAAACCUGAUAAACAAGCAUUUUUAACCAUGUGUAAGAUUUCAAAGCCUAUGACUUUUCCCAGCCUAGCCAGUGGACCUGCCUAACUCCUUAUGUCUCCAGGCCUUACCUAGAAUCUAUUGGUUGGAGAACAGACAAUUAGUAAAAGUCACAGAAUCAGUUUAUGACCUUAAAGCAUCCAGCAGUGUCUGACCUGCCUAAUUCAGACUAAAUAUAUAAACUUGGAAGACAUUUUCAUUUUAGUUUAUUAAUAAUAACAUUAUUAGAGUCAUGUGACCUACAGGCCUUAAACGUUUCCAUUUUUCUGACAAUGUUUAAUUCAAGUGCUUAUUAUUCUUUAAACCAAUUAAUUGAAGCUCUCUAUAUAAACAUCACACACAGCACGUAUAAAUACACAGAAACAUAUACAUACCCAGAAAUCAAGACAAAAUUCCAUCCAAUGAGAAGUUUUCGGAGGGAGAGCAGGGGCUUUCAAACAGUAUCUGUAAACAUAUAGCCCAAAUAUCAGCUUUAAUUAAGUUGAUUUCUGACUAUGAAAAUCUCAAAAGAAAAAUUCUUUUAAAAUCUUUUAUUACCAGAUUUCAGUGAGGACAAACUCUGACUUUUGAGUCCUUUUACUAGUGGUAACCUGAUAUGUGAAAUCAGUAAGCCUUAAUUAAGGGGAUGACUUAAACAGGGAUGCAGGAGUUAUCUCCAAAGAGACGGUAAACAAUUUACAAGAUCUAGAAUAUCCCCAGGCUGAACAUGGUGGCUCAUGCCUGUAUCCCAGCAUUUUGAGAGGCCAAGGCGGGUGGAUCACCUGAGGUCAGGAGUUCAUGACCAGCCUUGCCAACAUGGUGAAAUCCCGUCUUCAGUAAAAAUUCAAAAUUAGCCAGGCACAAUGGUGUGUGCCUGUAGUCCCAGCUACUCAGGAGGCAGAGGCAGGAGAAUUGCUUGAACCUGGGAGGCAGAGGUUGCUGUGAGCCGAGAUUGUGCCACUGCACUUCAGCCUGGGUGACAGAGCAAGACUUUACAGGAACUAUUUCUCUACUGCAAUUAAAUCCAUGCACCAUGGGUCAGCAGUGCAUUGUUAGUAGAGAUGAUGUCAGCUUCAGCCUCCAGUCCAAGAGAACUACACAGCCACUUGGGCUAGCCUCGGGAUCUAUUGCCAGUAGGGGGCUACCAAACCACAAGCAGGUAGCCACAAGGGUGAUACCAUAUGAGCCCCCAAAUUUGUAACCUCCCAGGGGUUCUUCCUGCCCACUGCGUAAAGACAGACUAUGAUAUUGUAGUAAAGAAAGAGUUCAGUAGCCACAAGUCCAGCCACCCAACAUGGGAGAUGGAGUUUAUACUCAAAUCAUCUCCUUCAAAGCUUGUAGGUUAAGGGUUUUUUAAAGGCAGUUGGAAGAAAGGGGUGGGGUGGCCACAUAAAAGGUGCUUGUGGCUUAUUGGUUGGGGAAGAAAUAAAAUCACAGGGGGUUGAGGCUGCCCUACUGGGGCCAAGUCGCUUCUGGAUGGGACCACAGGAGCGGGUUGUCAGUCCAGGUGGAGCCAAGGCAAGGGACUCAGACAUGCAAAAAACCUGGAAAGAUCUCUCAAAAGGCCAAUCUACAAUAGUGGUGUUAUUAGCAACUGGGUAAGUUUCAUAUCCUAUAACCUCCAGAAUAAUGUCUGCACCUUAGCAGGACUCAGACUCCUCUCUUCCCAUCAGCCUGAUGGCUUCCUUUUAGCUUUACAAAAGUGGUUGAGUUUUGAGUAAGAUGUAUUGUCAUUUAAACUGUAGCCUAGACUGCCAGGAUUGCAUAUGCCUUGAAAGCACAGAGCCUCGUCCUCACCACUCUGCCACCUGUCCAUACCUGUAACCAGUCCACCAUGGAUGAUGAUAUCACCGUACUUUUUGUCAACAACGGCUCCUGCAUGUGCAAGGGCAGCCUUGUGGGCAGUGAUCCCCCCAAGGCUGUCAUCUCCCCCAUCAUGGGGCAGUGGAGGCACCAGGACAUGAUGAUGGGUGUGAGUCAGAAGGACUCCCGCGUGGGCAUUGAGGCCCAGAGCAAGAGAGGCAUCCUGACCCUGAAGUACCCUAUUGAACACAGCAGCAUCAUCAGCUGGGAUGACGUGGAGAAAAUCUGGCACUACACCUUCUAUAAUUAGCUGCAUGUGGCUUUCAAGGAGCACCAUGUGCUGCUGACUGAGGCCCCCCUGUACCCCAACGCCAGCCACAAGUAGAUGACCCAGAUCAUGUUUGAGACCUUCAACACCCUAGCCAUGUACGUGGCCAUCCAGGCCAUGCUGUCCCUGUAUGCCUCUGGCCAUACCACUGGCAUUGUGAUGGACUCUGGCAAUGGAGUUACUCACACUAUGGUCAUCUGCAGGGGAUACACCCUCCCCUGUGCCAUCCUGUGUCUGGACCUGACUGGCCAGGACCUGAUUGGCUACCUCAUGAAGAUCUUCACCAAGCAUGGCUACAGCUUUACCACCACGGCUAAGUGGGAAAUUAUGCAUGACAUCAAGGAGAAGCUAUGCUUUGUCGCCCUGGACUUCCAGCAGGAGAUGGCCACAGCAGCCUCUAGCUCCUCCGUGGAGAAGAGCUAUGAGCUGCCCAAUAGCCAGGUUAUCACCAUCAGCCAUGAGCUGAUCUGCUGCCCUGAGGCACUCUUCCAGCCUUCCUUCCUGGGCAUGGAAACCUGUGGCAUCCACAAAGCUACCUUCAACUCCAUCAUGAAGUGUGAUGUGGACAUCCACAAAGACCUGUAUGUUAACACAGUGUUGUCUGGCGGCACCAACAUGUACCCUGGCAUUGCCGACAGGAUGCAGAAAGAGAUCACCGCUCUGGCACCCAGCUUGAUGAAGAUCGAGAUCAUUGCUCCUCCGGAGCACAAAUACUCUGUGUGGAUGGAGGGCUCCAUCCUGGCCUCGCUGUCUACCUUCCAGCAGAUGUGGGUCAGCAAGCAGGAGUAUGAGUCCGGCCCUCCACUGUCCACUGCAAAUGCUUCUAGGAAGACUGUUACUUAGUUGCAUUACACCCUUUUUUGACAAAACCUAACUUGUGCAGAAAACAAGAUUGGCAUGGCUUUAUUUGUUUUGUUUGGCUUCACUCAGGAUUUAAAAAUUGGAAAGUGUAGGGGACAGCAGUUGGUUGGAGUGAGCAUUCCCUGAAGUUCUACAGUGUGGUUGAGGACUUUGAUUGUACAUUGAUCUUUUUUUUAAUAGUCAUUCCAAAUAUCUGAGAUGCAUUGCUACAGGAAGUCCCUUGCCCUCCUAAAAGCCACCCCCCUUCUCUCUAAGAAGAAGUCUUAGAAGAGAGUCCACAGUGGGGAGGUGAUAGCAUUGCUUUCAUGUAAAUUCUGUAAUGCAAAAUUUUCUUAAUAUUCACCUUAAUUUUUUCUAUUUUGUUGUAUUCUGAAUGAUCAGCCUUUGUGGCCCAUUUUUUUGGUCCCCCAACUUGAGAUAUAUGAAAGCUUUUGGUCUCCCUGGGAGUGGGUGGAGGCAGCUAUGGCUUACCUGUACAUAGUUGAAUAAAAGUACACACUUUAAAAAAUAAUAAUAAAAUUGAAAAACUGUAGUCUAAAUGUCUGUCAAAGUUAGCUUGGCCCCAUAGCCCAUAAUAAUUAAGGGAAAGGCAAGAUGGGGUUUGGGCUAGCUUAGUUUACUGUAAUAAUGUUCUCAGUAAUAUAACUUUUGCAAAGGCGGUUUCAGUAUCAUAGAAGGGUUCAUGUUGUAAAAGAAAUAAAAAGCAGUCUUGAAUAUUAAGAACCCUUUUGCUAAUGUUAAUUUGAUUUUUGGCAUUGAUGCUUCUAUGUCUUGUUCCUCAUUGUUUGCCACUGGUUUAGAAGCACUCAUCUCCAUUGAGUUGUCUUCUGUUCAUUCCUCUGGUAUGGUGUCUAUUAGCUCUUGAAUUUCUUGACAAUCCAUAUCUUGAAUGUCUUCACCCACCAAUUUUUUUUUUUGCCAUAUUUACAAUCUCUUUCAUGAUUUCCUUGAUUGGUUCUGUUGUUAAGUUCUGUGCACAACAUCUGGAUGUAGUUUUCUCCAGCAGGAAGUUAUUGUUUCAGGCUUGAUGACUUUCAUAGAUUUUUCUGUAACAGCAAUGGCAUAUUCUGUGGAGUAAUUCUUCUGACUGCCAUCAUGUUCUCUCCAUUGCAGUUCUUUUCCAUAGCACUAACAGUCAGUUUUAUAGAAUAUUGUGUUUAAUGGCCUUUAUGGCACCCUGAUCUAGAGCCUGAGUUAGAGAUGUGUUUAGAGGCAACUAGACUACUUUAACACUCACAAGGUUCUGGGUGGCCAGGGGCAUUGUCAAACAUAGGAACUUAAAAAGGCAGUCGCUUACUGGCAAGGUACUUCCUGAUUUUAGAGAUAAAGCUUGGUGGGGCCAGGCACAGUGGUCAUGCCUAUAAUCCCAGCACUUUGGGAGGCCGAGGUGGGCGGAUCAUGAGGUCAGGAAUUUAAGACCAGCCUGGACAACGUAUUGAAACCCCAUCUCUACUAAAAAUACGUAAAUUAGCCAGGUUUGGUGGCAGGCACCUGUAGUCUCUGCUAUUUGGGAGGCUGAGGCAAGAGAAUCGCUUGAACCCAGUAGUCAGAGGUUGCAGUGAGUUGAGAUCUUGCCACUGCACUUCAGCCUGGGCGACACAGUGAGACUGUCUCAAAAAAAAAAAAAAGGCAUGGGUGGAUUCAAUCCAGAAAAAGAGGUUUUGUUUUUCCAGAUUUCUUUUUCAACAGUCAGAAGACUGGCAGGGGUGGUGUUUACCUUUUUUUCUUCAAGGUCCAGAGGUUAGCAGCUCUUUAUAUAAGGGUAGUUCUGAUCUUAAUCCUGAAUGCAUUUACACAAAACAGUGGAGUUAGCUUAUCCCUUCCUGCCUUGAAUCUUGGUGCUUGCUCCUCUUCCUUACUAAUAAAUGUACUUUGUGGCAUCUUCUUCCACAAUAUGGUACUUUCAUCUGCAAUAAAAACCUGUUCAAGCAGGUAUCUUUUGUCCUUUAUGAUUUUCUGGAUGGUGUCUGGGAAUUUGUCUAUUGCCUCUUGGUCAGCAAAAGCUGUUAUCUUGAUGUUUUUUAAGCUAAAACUGUUUCUAAAAUUAUAAACCCAUUCUUUCCUAGCAUUAAAUUCUCCAGCUUUAGAUCCUUUACCCUCCUUUUGCUUUAUGUUGUUGUAUAAUGACUUCAUUUUUUAAAAAAAAAACAAUGUUAGAGUCUAUAGUUAGAGCUUUUUUACAGCAAUCCUGUAUCCACAUAACAGCUGCAUUUUCAUUAUGAGAUAAAAAGGUGUUCUGCAGAAGUACAUGGUUUUCACACCUAGUGGCGUCACUGCAGUGACAGCUUCACAAAUUUACUUGUGUUAUUUUACAACAAUCCUCUUGAUGGAUUCAUUUUAUCUUGGAAUGGUGGGUAACCACAGCUACUAGCCUUCAAUCUAUGGUCCAUAUCAAGUCAUUCAACUUUUUCUUGUAAUGUCUUAACUUCUCUCUACUUAAGAGCAUUCCCAGCAUCACUAGUGGCACUCCAUGUGGGUCCCAUGAUAUUAUUCAGGGUUUGCUGUAUCACAGUAAACAUGAUGGAAAAUACCUGAGAACCUUUAGAGAUCAGUUUUAUUUGUUAUCUUUUUGUUUUAUUUUGUUUUAUUAGAAACAGAGUCACACUCUGUCACCCAGACUGGAGUGCAGUGGUACAGUCAUAGCUCACUGCAGCUUUGAACUCCCGGGCUUAAGGGAUCCUCUUACCUUAGCCUCCCACAAGAGAUCAGUUUUUUACUGAGAUACACAAUUUAUUGGAGAGAGGAACUGCUCCCGCAGAGAUGAUUAACUUGGUGGGGUAUUUUAAGUACAUGCUUGCAACACUUGAGCUCGGGCAAUAGUGACAGGAAGUGGCUACAACACUAUUACAGUAGUAUAGUAGGUUAUACAGCUAAUUUUAUGCAGUUAUGAUUUAAUACUACAUCUUUACAUUUGCUUACAUUUCGCUGGGCUGUGAAUGUCACCUUGUAUGCUUUGUAAGUGUGUAAGUUUUUAUAAAUUUUUAACUUUUUUAGUUGAUUUGCAUAUAUUUUACAGUAGUAAAUGAUAAAACAUACUAUCUAUAUUUUUUGUUUGUUUUGAGAUAGGUCUUACUAUAUUUCUCAGGUUAGUCUCUCAAACUACUGGGCUUAAUUGAUCCUCCUGCCUCUGCCUCCCCAGUAGCUAGGAUUACAAAUGCACACCACUUUUCAUGCAUCUACAUAUAUUUUAUGUAUUCAUGACAUGCCUCACUUUUUCUUAUAUUCUGUUUUUCUAGGCUAUGCAGUUUUUGUCUCUUAAGUUUUUCAAAUUGUUGCAAAUUUCCAAAAACUUUUUCCAUAUAUUAUAUUGAAAAUAAAUGGCAUCUAAGUGGACCUGCAGUUUGAACCCAUGUUGUUGGUCAGCUGAAUAGAUUUUCCUAUAUCACAGGUGUAUAUACCUUUGCCAAAAUUGUAUUUCCAUAAUUAAGUGAAGACUAACAAAGAGUUCUGUCCUUGGCAAGAGAUGAAUAAAUAUUUGAGUGCCAUUUUAUAAAAAACAAAUAAAUUUUGCAUUCCAUGGAAAAUCUUCCCAAGGUAUAUUUCUGGGCUUUUCCUUUGCCAUUCUCUUAUCUCUUAUUUCUCAAAAUCAUUUCUCACAAAUGUAGCCAUUUGUAUCUACUUCUAUUUCUGAGUCUUAUUCUUACUGAAUUAUCCAUGUACUCCCAUUUUUUUUACUAGUAGUCCUAUCUAUACACUCCAAUGUCAUAUUCCUAUAUCCCUUUCACUGAGAAACUCCGUAUCAUGCAGAUCCACAAUUGCCCUCCUCUACUUCCCCAGCACUUGGUUUCUGCUUCAUCAUUAACACAUUUUUAAAAAGAUAGAUGUAUUUAUUUUGAUCUCCCUUACAAGCCUAUGAGUUCUGUUGUCCUUGUUUCUUUAGUUUCCAGGGCAGAGCUUUAUUCAGAGUAGUUGUUUAUUAACUAGGCAAAGGAAUAUCAUUUGAGGAUGCUAAGCAUGGGCUUAUAAACAAUAUAAAGAUGCACAGAGUAAAAUGUAGACCUUUAUACUCUUAAUAUUCCUGCUUCUGCAUGGAGAUCUUCAGUAUUUCAUACUUGAUUUUUUUCUUUUUUCUGUACAUUUUUAUUUAGAUGUAAAUAUGAAUUUUUAGAAACAUAACUGUAUGUAUAGUGACUUUUUUUGAGACCGAGUUUCACUCUUGUUGCCCAGGCUGGAGUGCAGUGGUGCAAUCUUACCUCACUGCAACCUCUGCCUCCCGGGUCAAUUUUCCUGCCUCAGCCUCCUGAGUAGCUAGGAUUACAGGUGCCCACUACCACACCUAGCUGAAUUUUUGUAUUUUCAGUAGAAUUGGGGUUUCACCAUGUUGGCCAGGCUUGUCUUAAACUCCUGACCUUAGGUGAUCCACCUUCCUCAGCCUCCCAAAGUAGUGGAAUUAUAGGCAUGAGCCGCUGGGCCUGGCUCAAAAAAAAUUUUGUUUUUCAUUUAACAAUGUAUCUUAGGGAACCAUAUUAGUAUAUGUUGAUGUGUCCCAUUUUUACUGCUGUAUUCAUACUCUAGACAUAUGUCUUAGUCAAACAGAAAAAUCUAAGGCAUGUAGGCAACAAAGUAUUUCGUGACAUCAAGGAAUAGCUUCUCUGGUGCUGAGGGAUAUUAAUGCCUGACAUAUUGGGAUAGUUAGCACAGGAUCUUACCAUUGACUUAUUUAUGUAAAUAAGUCUUUUUUUUUUUUGAAACACAGUCUCACUCUUUCACCCAGAUUGGAGUGCUGUGGCACAGUUUUAGAUCACUGCAGUUUUGAAUUUCUGGGUUCAAGCAAUCAUCCUGCCUCAGCCUCCUAAAUAGCUGGGAUUACAGGUGCAUACCAGCAUUCCUGCCUGAUUUUUUAGAUUUUUUUUUGGUAGAGAUGAGGUUUGGCUAUGUUGCUCAGACUAGUCUCAAUCUCCUGGCCUUAAGCGGUCCUCCCACCUCAGCCUCCCAGCAUGCUGGGAUUAUAGAUGUGAGCCACUGCAUCUGUCUUGUCCUGUCCUACCCUGUCCAAUUUUUAUAAUGUUUUUCUCAGAUGCAGCACAGUGGCUCACACCUGUAAUACCAGCACUUUGGGAGGCCAAGGCAGGCUGAUCAUGAGGUCAGGAGAUCGAGACCAUCCUGGCCAACAUGGUGAAACCCUUUCUUUACUAAAAUACAAAACAUUAGCCAGGUGUGGUGGUGCAGACCUGUAGUCCCAGCUACUUGAGAGGCUGAGGCAGGGUAAUAGCUUGAACUCGGGAGGCAGUGGUUGCAGUGAGUUGAGAUAGUGACUCUGCACUCCAGCUUGGUGACAGAGUAAGAUUUCGUCUCAAAAACAAAAAAACAAAAUAAAAUGUUUGUCUCUUUUAGGGUAGAGAACAUUUUCUUUCAAUUGCCUGGCACAUAGUUAACACCUAAUACAUUUUUCAAAUUAAUGAAUGAUCAAAAGACUGUUGAAAGUUAAGUUCUGGACUAAAUAAUACAAAGUCCUUGUAAUGAAUACAAAGUCUCUAUCUAUGAUGACAUCUAUAAUAUGUCUCAGGGUGUUUGUUAAUGAGUUAGUUAUUCUAUUCUCCUUGGUCAAGGAGAUAUCAAAAUAUUGAAGUUUAAUAUUCUUUUGUUUUUGUUUAG